ACCUGAAGAGGAGGAGGUGGACCUCCUCCUGUUGCUGUUGCUGCUGCUGCUGCUCCCGUUGUUGUUGGCCGAGGAGGAGGAAGUGGAGGUGGACGAGGAGGAGGAGAGGUAGAGGAAGGACCAGAAGCUCUUCUUCCGGGGGCUGUCCACGGCGUCCACAAUGCCACUACCUCCCUCCGUUGAGAGUCCCCCAACUGGCCUCGGAGCCACGGAUUUGCUCCUCUUCAAGGUGAGAAGGUUGUUGACCGCCGAGGAGGAGGAGGAGGACGACGAUGAGGUGAUGGUGGUGCUGGACGCCAUCACCUUCCUGCUGCUGCCGCUGCCGACGUAGCUGCUGCUCUUCUUCUUCUUGUGUGCGGCUGCAAGGAAGGGGAUCCUGGUCCGGCUCCCACCGCC
rnacentral:lncRNA from 1 species